CGUAAAGAGCUCGUAGGUGGUUUGUCGCGUCGUCUGUGAAAUCCCGGGGCUUAACUUCGGGCGUGCAGGCGAUACGGGCAUAACUAGAGUGCUGUAGGGGAGACUGGAAUUCCUGGUGUAGCGGUGAAAUGCGCAGAUAUCAGGAGGAACACCGAUGGCGAAGGCAGGUCUCUGGGCAGUUACUGACGCUGAGGAGCGAAAGCAUGGGUAGCGAACAGGAUUAGAUACCCUGGUAGUCCAUGCCGUAAACGGUGGGCGCUAGGUGUGGGGGUUUUAUUUACGAUUCCCGUGCCGUAGCUAACGCAUUAAGCGCCCCGCCUGGGGAGUACGGCCGCAAGGCUAAAACUCAAAGGAAUUGACGGGGGCCCGCACAAGCGGCGGAGCAUGUGGAUUAAUUCGAUGCAACGCGAAGAACCUUACCUGGGCUUGACACACACCGGAUCGCUGCAGAGAUGUAGUUUCCCUUUGUGGCUGGUGUACAGGUGGUGCAUGGUUGUCGUCAGCUCGUGUCGUGAGAUGUUGGGUUAAGUCCCGCAACGAGCGCAACCCUUGUCUUGUGUUGCCAGCACGUUAUGGUGGGGACUCGCGAGAGACUGCCGGGGUUAACUCGGAGGAAGGUGGGGAUGGCGUCAAAUCAUCAUGCCCCUUAUGUCCAGGGCUUCACACAUGCUACAAUGGUCGGUACAGUGGGUUGCGAUACCGUGAGGUGGAGCUAAUCCCUUAAAGCCGGUCUCAGUUCGGAUUGGAGUCUGCAACUCGACUCCAUGAAGUCGGAGUCGCUAGUAAUCGCA
rnacentral:rRNA from 1 species